UUGGACUAAAGAACUCAGACUAAAAAUUAGGGUUUGAAAAUAGUUUUAAGACAUUGUUUGCAAUAGGAUAUUUUCGGACCUGAAUUAUGGGCUUAUUUCAACAUGCUCUUCCAAACCAUAUUAUCAUGUGUCUGUUGGUGCUUUUGCCCUCAGCACAGAGAAGAUAGUUUACCACAUUUGAGUUGCUUAUUAAAAACAGUAGGAAUCGGAGGCAGUGCAGGGUCAGAGAGUGAAAGGCUGUAAUGGACCCUGUGAAGGGUGAGCUACUUCAUGAGGGCAGGUUUUUAAUGUAAGUACUGUUACCCUUGUGCACAUAAAUGCAGCGUGAAGAAUGUCUAAAUUACAGUGGACAGAAGUGGCAUGCUGAGACAGGAAUAUUUUCCUGUUAUUUCAGGUACGUAAUGUAUCUGAGUUAGAUAUGUCUCUGUAUAUCUCA
rnacentral:lncRNA from 1 species